UACGUAGGGCGCAAGCGUUGUCCGGAAUUAUUGGGCGUAAAGAGCUCGUAGGCGGCCAGUUGCGUCUGCUGUGAAAUCCCGGGGCUCAACCCCGGGCGUGCAGUGGAUACGGGCUGGCUAGAGGCAGGCAGGGGAGAACGGAAUUCCCGGUGUAGCGGUGAAAUGCGCAGAUAUCGGGAGGAACAUCAGUGGCGAAGGCGGCCAUCUGGGACAACACUGACGCUGAAGCACGAAAGCGUGGGGAGCAAACAGG
rnacentral:rRNA from 1 species